AAGUUGGUGGAAACUGGAAGUUUGCAACCAAAGCAGAUGAUUUCGGUCAAAGUAGAUGUUUUUGGUCAAAGUUGGUGGAAACUGGAAGUUUGCAACCAAAGAUGAUGAUUUCGGUCAAAGUAGAUGUUUUUGGUCAAAGUUGGUGGAAACUGGAAGUUUGCAACCAAAGUUGAUGUUUUCGGUCAAAGUUGAUGUUUUUGGUCAAUGUUGGUGGAAACUUGAAGUUUACAACCAAAGUUGAUGUUUUCGGUCAAAGUUGAUGUUUUUGGUCAAAGUUGGUGGAAACUGGAAGUUUGCGACCAAAGUUGAUGUUUUCGGUCAAAGUAGAUGUUUUUGGCCAAAGUUGGUGGAAACAUGAAUUUUGCGACCAAAGUUGAUGUUUUCGGUCAAAGUUGAUGUUUUUGGUCAAAGUUGAUGUUUUUGGUCAAAGUUGGUGGAAACUUGAAGUUUGCAACCAAAGUUGAUGAUUUCGGUCAAAAGUAGAUGUUUUUGGUCAAAGUUGGUGGAAACUGGAAGUUUGCAACCAAAGAUGAUGAUUUCGGUCAAAGUUGAUGUUUUUGAUCAAAGUUGGUGGAAACUCGAGGUUUGCGACCAAAGUUGAUGUUUUCGGUCAAAGUUGAUGUUUUUGGUCAAAGUUGGUGGAAACAUGAAUUUUGCGACCAAAGUUGAUGUUUUCGGUCAAAGUUGAUGUUUUUGGUCAAAGUUGAUGUUUUUGAUCAAAGUUGGUGGAAACUGGAAGUUUGCAACCAAAGAUGAUGAUUUCGGUCAAAGUUGAUGUUUUUGGUCAAAGUUGGUGGAAACUGGAAGUUUGCGACCAAAGUUGAUGUUUUCGGUCAAAGUAGAUGUUUUUGGUCA